rnacentral:lncRNA from 1 species
GUUAAUUUCCAAAGUGUGACUCCCUAAUAAACAGCCUGCACACUAACCUCCGUCUCAGCAUCUGUUUUCCUGGGAACCCAACCUGGAACCACUGUAUGCAUAGGAUGAAUAUGAAAGGACCACAUCCCAAACUUGUCCCCUUGAGUUACAGAUGGCAUUAGAAGUGGAACCCAAAGUAGAGCCUCUUGCAACCCCCAGAAGCACCAAGAGACCAAGAAAAAUACCUACCAGGCCCAUUGUGUUCAUUGCUCUCUUGCAGAAACUGGUGAUUGUGGAGAUCAAGAUUCCAAAAAAAUCCAAAGAACGGGGUUUACAGAAGAAGACUGAGUAUUGUCUGACCUCAAGCUUACGGGAUGCCAGAACAGAACAAGAUUACUGAGAAUGCAACUGAAUUUUAGAGACUACCAGUCACCAAGUAAGUUGCUCAGGCACUACUGAGAUUAUCCCGAUAACAUU